CAAUAGCGUAUAUUAAAGUUGUUGCAGUUAAAAAGCUCGUAGUUGGAUUUCUGGUCGGAAGCUCCUGUCCUCUGAUGAGCGUACAAGUGCGUCCUACCAUCCUUCUGUUAACCUUUAAGGCUUUCGCGGCUUUCUAGGGGCUCAGAUAUUUUACCUUGAGAAAAUUAGAGUGUUUCAGGCAGGCUAGCGCCGGAAUACAUUAGCAUGGAAUAAUGGAAUAGGACUUUUGCCUCUUCUGUUGGUCAUGAGGCUCGAGUAAUGAUUAAUAGGGAUAGUUGGGGGCAUUAGUACUUAACUGUCAGAGGUGAAGUUCUCGGAUUUGUUAAAGACUAACUUAUGCGAAAGCAUUUGCCAAGGAUGUUUUCAUUAA
rnacentral:rRNA from 1 species